rnacentral:rRNA from 1 species
AGUGAACGCUGGCGGUAGGCCUAACACAUGCAAGUCGAACGGCAGCACAGUAAGAGCUUGCUCUUACGGGUGGCGAGUGGCGGACGGGUGAGGAAUACAUCGGAAUCUACUUUUUCGUGGGGGAUAACGUAGGGAAACUUACGCUAAUACCGCAUACGACCUACGGGUGAAAGCAGUGGAUCUUCGGACCUUGCGCGAUUGAAUGAGCCGAUUUCGGAUUAGCUAGUUGGCGGGGUAAAGGCCCACCAAGGCGACGAUCCGUAGCUGGUCUGAGAGGAUGAUCAGCGACACUGGAACUGAGACACGGUCCAGACUCCUACGGGAGGCAGCAGUGGGGAAUAUUGGACAAUGGGCGCAAGCCUGAUCCAGCAAUACCGCGUGGGUGAAGAAGGCCUUCGGGUUGUAAAGCCCUUUUGUUGGGAAAGAAAAGCAGCAGGUUAAUACCCCGCUGUUCUGACGGUACCCAAAGAAUAAGCACCGGCUAACUUCGUG